AAUCGUUUGUCCCUUCAACUUACAGACACGAAGAAGCUGCUAAAAGGACACCAGGAAUCAAUCUCACCAACCCACCCUGGAGCAGAAAAUCUCUUACCUUCCACCCCUGAGUGCUGCCGUUCCUGGGACCUUCUUGGGGAAGAUCAGGUCAAAGGUGGAAGUAUAAAGUGGAAAUUCAGAACUCCAGCCAGAAAUGGGACUCCAGUAUAAGAUCUGAUUUUACCUGUUUCUGGCGCCGGGCCCAGAAAAAGUUAAUCCGGCCCUGCAUUUGAGCUCUGCUAGCAAAGGGAGUGGGCUGAAGACGGGGCGGGCGGCUGUCUGCUGUGGAACACACAGGCCCUCCCAGAAAAUAGCCCUGGCGACGAAGAAGCUGCUAAAAGGACACCAAGAAUCAAUCUCACCAACCCACCCUGCAGCAGAACAUCUCUUACCUGCCACCCCUGAGUGCUGCCAUUCCUGGGACCAUCUUGGGGAAAUUAAAGACAUAGGAACAGGAGUACUUGUGGCACCUUAGAGACUAACACAUUUAUUUGAGCAUAAGCUUUCGUGGACUACAGCCCACUUCUUCGGAUGCAUAGAAUGGAACAUAUAUUGAGGAGAUAUAUAUACACAUACAGAGAGCAUGAAAAAGUGGGAGUUGUCUUAACAACUCUGAGAGGCCAAUUAAGAGAAAUUUUUUUUGAAGUGAUAAUCAAGCUAGCCCAGUACAGACAGGCUGAUAAGAAGUGUGAGAAUACUUACAAGGUGAGAUAGAUUCAAUGUUUGUAAUGGCUCAGCCAUUCCCAGUCCCUAUUCAAGCCUAAGUUGAUUGUAUCUAGUUUGCAUAUCAAUUCCAGCUCAGCGGUUUCUCAUUGGAGUCUGUUUUUGAAGCUUUUCUGUUGCAAAAUUGCCACCCUCAGGUCUGUUACGGAGUGACCAGACAGGUUAAAGUGUUCUCCCACUGGUUUUUGAGUAUUUUGAUUCCUGAUGUCAGAUUUGUGUCCAUUAAUUCUUUUGCGUAGAGACUGUCCGGUUUGGCCAAUGUACAUGGCAGAGGGGCAUUGCUGGCACAUGAUGGCAUAUAUCACAUUGGUAGAUGUGCAGGUGAACGAACCCCUGAUGGCGUGGCCGAUAUGAUUAGGUCCUAUGAUGAUGUCCAGGAGCAGCGCCAGGGUUUUUGGUGCCCUAGGCGGGGGUCCUUCCGCGCUCCCGGUUGUUGGCGGCAAUUCUGCGGUGGGGGGGGGGGGUGUCCUUCCACGCUCCCGGUCUUCGGGGCACUUUGGUGGCGGGUCCUGGAGCGAGUGAAGGACCCCCCGCCACCGAAUUGCUGCCACCCCAAAUCCUGGUGCCCUAGGCGACCGCCUAGGUCGCCUAAAUGGAAGCGCCGGCCCUGAUGAUGUCACUUGAAUAGAUAUGUGGACAGAGUUGGCAUCGGGCUUUGUUACAAGGAUAGGUUCCUGGGUUAGUGGUUUUGUUCAGUGAUGUGUGGUUGCUGGUGAGUAUUUGCUUUAGGUUGGGGGGGUUGUCUGUAAGCGAGGACAGGUCUGUCUCCCAAGAUCUGUGAGAGUGAGGGAUCAUCUUUUAGGAUAGGUUGUAGAUCUUUGAUGAUGCGCUGGAGAGGUUUUAGAUCAGCCCCCAACUGAUUCCUACAUCAACAAAAGGGUUUUUUUCCAUUGAUGUCUUUAAUCCACCUUUCCAAGAGACAGGAGCUAAGCCGACAGAAGAAUUCUUCUGUCAAUUUAGCCACUUCUACACCAGCGGUUAGGUUAACCUAACUUCGGUGCUCAGGGUGUGACAUAUUUCACAGCCCAGUACAAGAUAUCUGGGUUGAUCUAAUUUUUAAGUGUAGGCCAGGCCAUAGUGUUGCUGAGAAUCCGUACCUCUGCUCGGCAUUAUUAGUAACACAGGUGAGGAGUGUGUGCUUAAUUCGGUAUUUCAUUGGACAGUGUCCCCUUAAGCUUUUCCUGUGGGGCGAUCAAAGAAAUUGUAGAAGCUGCGAAUUUGACCUCAGUUUUGUCUGGUUCCAGCUGAAGUAAAAAUAAUCUUCACUGAAAAGAAAAAAAAACAGCUGUUCCCUCCCGUCCCCCAGUCGUAGUCAGUUUCUCUCUCUUCUGUCACAUUACAUGUGAGAAGGAAGGAAACACCCCCCCGCUCCUCAGUCCAGUCUCCACUAGUUAUGGGGUUGGUGUCAGACGUGUUGGUCUUUUGUUCUCUGUCACAGGGUUGCUGGUCCCUGUAACUGAGGUGGAUCCAAUCCUCCCUCCCCCUCCCUGUGCCCGAAUGGGAGGUCCCAACUGGGCCAAUGAAAGGGGCAGGACUGCACUUGGGGUGAUACAGGUCAGAGAGGGCACGUCUACACUGCACUAGAAACCUGGGUCUGUGGGACACAAGCUUGUGGCCUCAGUGUUUUCAAGCCUGUGUUUGAGCGUCCACACUGGGGCGGGUAUGUCUACUCAAGCUGAAAAUGACACCUUCCCUCUCUACUGCAGACAUAUCCCUAGGCAGAGCUGGUCGUGUCACCUUGGGAUGGUUGCCUAACACUUCACAUUAUAAGCCCCUGUUUUCAGUUACUUAUAACUUUGCCAAACUGAAGUUUCCUAGGACAGGCAUCUGCCUCAGGCAGAUUUUUGGUACGUUUCUGCUCGGAUGGCUCGGGCCAUUUCCAAGAGCGAAGCUAAGGGGGGAAAAGCACAUUGUUUUUCCAGAUGAAGAAUUCUUACAAUGGUUUCAUUGUGGAGCUCUAGUGCCCCCAAGCUUUGGAGCAGGGACCUCAACACCUGAGCUUUGGCAGGAGGACAUGCCAGGGACAGGCCUUGACCAUCUCUGUGAAAACCCUUCCCAAACUGGCCAACUUAAGUUCUUCCCAGUGCAACCGACCCCCAGCCCCAAAUAAAGUUCUUGAUUGCAGAUGUGCAGUAAAAUGUGCAGCCUAAGAAUUUGACAUCUAAAUUCUCUGAAGACUGUCUGUACUGAGUAUGCUCCAUCCCAGUGCUGAGCAGAACUUUUCCUGCAAUUGUUUCUGACAGCUGGCACUGGGACAAAGAGGGGUGGAGGGACGGGACUGAGAGAUGCCGGAGAGGACAAGGGCAGAAGGCUCUGUGAUUACUACCCUCCAGAACUUAUAAGGUUCCCAUGUCUCAACCUUCCUCUGCUGUCAGCGAGUAUCCAUGAAAUCCACUGGCAAAGAGCAUCUCUCAUUCCCCUUGGACACUCUGUACAUAAAUAGUGUGACGAUAAAGUCUUCAAUUACAAGGCCACCUUUCUUUUUCCUUCACAGAGCCUGAGCAUUUCCUUAGCUGUGCACCAAAAUAUCCAGAAGGAGCCUUGCAGACUGCCUGGGGCAGAGUAACAUUCGAAAGCAACCUGCCCCGUGCAGGAACUGGGUUACAUUUACACAGGUCGUGCCCGGGAUCCUGUUUACCCCUCCCCAGCCCUGUUGCACUUGCAGUUUACCCCGGCCCCUCCCUUGCUCCAGGGACCAACCCUUAUUUAAAUCGGAGUUUUGAGGAAAAAACCCACGUAAAGAUACAUUAUAUCUCAUCAUGGAAUAGGGAUUAUACAUUCGAAUUCUAUCGUAUGAGACAAUAUAUUCAUGUCAUGUUUAAGAAAAGUUUUGUAAAUGAGUUCUAACAGUUCAUGGAAUGAAGAACCCAAUCUUAUGGGGUUCCAGGGGCUUCUGUGUAGAUUAUUUAGGUUAAUCUUUCUAUCUACCCAAUGGGACUCAGUGCUCAGUCUAGAAGAUGCCGUCAGAGAGGCUUAGUUUUGCAGUUUUCAAACUGUGGAUUUGUGUCUUCAGAGGUAACAUGCUUGUUAACAGUAAAAAUGUUUUAAAUAAAUAAAUAAUAUAGAGAGGUGAGAAAUAACAGACCUCAACUCUAUUGUCCCUCUGCAAAUUUGUGUACACAGAGUCAAUCCCUUACCUCUCUCUAAAAGUGCAAAGUUUCAAAAAGUUCAAUGAAUAGAAGAUUGUUGGGGGGCGGAAUAGAUCUGGACAAGGAGAAGGCUGGAGAUAAAUGGGAGAAGCGAGGGACAGAUGCUUUUUUGUUAAAAUAUUUUGUUUGCUGUUGAAGAAAAAAAUCCAGAAUACUUAAAAUCAGCAGUUAGGGGGGAAACUCCUGUGGAAGCAGGGAAAGGAAGAGAGGGUUUAAGUGCAGUCAUUUAAGUGUCAGAGACAGAACAACUGUUCUGUCAAGUCUCAGCCUAAUAUGGCGAGACCUGUAGAAGCCGGGCCCACGUCAGAAGCGAGUGGAAAACAGCAGAAUAGUCACUGUGACCAAGCCCUGAGAUAAUGAUGUUUAUAAUAUAGGGAGAUAUCCCAUCUCCUAGAACUGGAAGGGACGCUGAAAGGUCAUUGAUGCCAGACCCCUGCCUUCACUAACAGGACCAAGUACUGAUUUUGCCCCAGAUCCCUAAAUUGCCCCUCUCAAGGAUUGAACUCACAACCCUGGGUUUAUCAGGCUAGUGCUCAAACCACUGAGUUAUCUCCCCAAGGGGAAGUGAGAAAAUACUGCAGUAGAUAGCAAAUAGCCUAAAUAAAAUGCAGACGGUUUUAAUUAAUGCAUGUCACAAAGGGGUAUAAAUGUUUGUGUGAUUUUGCUUGUACUUUGGAGAAACUGAGGCAGAGAUGCUCUCUGUCAGCCGUGCUCUUCCCUUGCAAUUGCAUGUCCUGAAUAAAGCUGUCUCUGAUUUUGUUGUUUCCAACUGGAGAGUGGAGUCCGUUUCUUCCACACUCCCCAGGACUUUGC